rnacentral:lncRNA from 1 species
UUUUCCCUACUAUAUUCAGUUGUCUUAAUUUGUUCCCUAGGUGGCCCCCACUCCUACGGACACAGCUCUUUCACCUAUACGGUUUUCUUCUGUAUUUCCUGAUAUAAGUCUCCCCCUGACCCCACUGGAAUGCAUGGAUUUGCAUUUGUUCUUCCAGGAGUGUCUAACUGGAUGUCCUCUGCAAAUUCAUCAAAUGUGCCAUCUUUUCCAUCAUGUGGUCAUCCCUGGGAUCAUCAUCGAACAUCGUUCUCCACCACUCUGGUCCAUGGAUGGUUGUUCUCUUUUGUCCAUUCCAUCAAAUGUCCUGAACACUGUCAGAAGAGGGAAAAGGCUAAUGGAGCUGUUAAGUCUAAGUAUGACUGCCAAGAUGAAUCCAAAAAAGCCAAAGAGCCUGAGCAUGUCAGACCUUCCUGCAGCCUGCCACACACACUUAAAACCCCAGGGAAAUGAGUGCGGCUCAGGAGGGGGGAAGAGCGCCAACCAGUCAGAUUGCUCAAUCCCAAGACAAAGAACUCGUGGAUCAUGGGCUAGAAAAAAGGGUUAAAGGAUUAGAAUGAAUUCAAGAAAGAACGAUCUGGUUGCCACUUGGAGAAGGACACAGGAGCUGAACCCAAUGGUGCUGUGGAGCCUGGGGAGGAAAUUGUGAGUACUUGCUCUUGAUUGAGUAUCAUUAUCCUCCUGUUGUCUAGGAAGAUGAUUGUUAUAAUUAGCGAC